rnacentral:rRNA from 1 species
UACGUAGGGGGCCAGCGUUGUUCGGAAUUACUGGGCGUAAAGGGUUCGUAGGCGGUGCGGCAAGUCGGGAGUGAAAUCUCUGGGCUUAACCCAGAGGCUGCAUCCGAAACUGCUGUGCUUGAGUGUGGGAGAGGCGCGUGGAAUUGCAGGUGUAGCGGUGAAAUGCGUAGAUAUCUGCAGGAACACCCGUGGCGAAAGCGGCGCGCUGGACCACUACUGACGCUGAGGAACGAAAGCUAGGGGAGCAAACAGG